rnacentral:lncRNA from 1 species
AGUGUGCUUUUGAGGAAGGUUUGGUGGCAAAGGAUUUGUUCAUGCCUGUUUAUCAAAUGGAUGGAAGAACUAUCCCCUGCCUUAUAGGAUCAUUGUGAAAAUCAAAAUAAGGCACAGCAUUGAAACCUAGUAAACUGAUGGAUGCUACAAUUGCUAUUAUUAAAGAGGAGCCCUUGAGGUCGUUGGACAAGUGGGUGCCAUGAACAGAAGCUGGCUUUUAGAAGAUUACUCUGACACAUGCAUCUGUGAGGAAGAGGAAAUACUAAGACACAUAACAACUUCAUCUCUCUGAGUGGUCUGGCGCUGACGUUUCACCACUUCAACGGUUUGGCUCGUGAUUCAGUCAUGACAGAGUCACACAGAGCUAUUCUGGCAAGAGCAAGAAUAGAAUCUGCAGGAUAAGCCCAGAGAGCUGUGUGCCCACCACACAAUAGGGGACAACUUGCCAGUGAGAAGUCAAGCCCUGGUUUAUUGUGAGGCAUGAAAUAUCAACAGCUGAAAUUUUUGCUCUGCCAACUAGAAAUGAGGCAAGACAUGUUAAAAAAAAUUUUUUUUUUUUUUUAGUAAGACUGGGAAUGUAGAAAUGCAGCAGCCUGGACAAACAAGAGGGAAGAGAAAUAAACAUACACCAGUAAUUCAGGGUCCAGACUUGCCUGCUGGAGCUCUGUUCCAACAGAACGUGAAUUCCUCUAACUGAAAUCACUUACAUGUCAUCCUAGACUUUGGAAUCUGCUGAAAGAUGCCCUGAGUCUGUAGAAGUAAUAGAUGCCCUGAGUCCAAGCAUCUCAUUAGAUCUCCUCUUGACUAUUACUUUCAUCUACUGGUUUACCGUUAUAUUAUCAACACCUACUACUAUAAUCAACACCUGACACAUAGUAGGAGUACAGUAAAAGUUUAGGCAAAAGGUCCCAAAACCUGGGUUUUUGUCUUGUUUCUCAUGGCCAAGAGGAAAUCCCAGAGGAAAAGCUGAAUACAAGGAAUUAAAGGAUAUGAGGAACCAAAGAAGAAAUACAAGGAACCAAGUCAGCCAUUUCCCAGUGGUUACCUAGAGCUUGAAGUUCUGCAUCUCACUCCCAUGGCUGUUACAUGUUGCUUGGCACCAGUUCUCCUCUUCUUGCCCUUAUUCUCGCUGCCUGCUCCUCAGAAAUCUGUGUACACACCUCCAUGUCUAGACUUCUUCCUCUUAUCUACCACUGGGUGCUGUUCUUCUUGGUUGCCCUGUGGAGUGGGGUGUCUAACCCCUGGUGCUGAUCUUUCUCACCCAGCCCAUUCCACCACUGGCCAUGACCUGAUUUGGCAGUUACUUGAGGAAAGGGAUGGCCAGUAUAAAACCUUCAAUGAAAGAGAUUUAUCUAUGAUUUUUAAA